rnacentral:lncRNA from 1 species
GGGAAGGAAGGAGAGGGAAGGAAAGAGGUAGGGAGAGAGAGAAGUAUGGAGUAGGGAGGGGGGAGGGAGGGAUGGAGAGGGAAUGAAAGAGGUAGGGAGAGAGAGUAUGGAGUAGGGAGGGAGGGAGGGAGGGAAGGAAGGAGAGGGAAGGAAAGAGGUAGGGAGAGAGAGGUAGAGGGACAGAGUAGAGAGAGAGGUAGAGGAACAGAGAGUAGAGAGAGGUAGAGGUAGAGGAACAGAGAGUAGAGAGAGGUAGAGGGACAGAGAGUAGAGAGAGAGGUAGAGGGACAGAUAGUAGAGAGAGAGAGGUAGAGGGACAGAGAGUAGAGAGAGAGGUAGAGGUAGAGGAACAGAGAGUAGAGAGAGGUAGAGGUAGAGGGACAGAGAGUAGAGAGAGAGGUAGAGGGACAGAGAGUAGAGAGAGAGGUAGAGGGACAGAUAGUAGAGAGAGAGAGGUAGAGGAACAGAGAGUAGAAAGAGAGGUAGAGGAACAGAGAGUAGAGAGAGAGGUAGAGGGACAGAGAGUAGAGAGAGAGAGGUAGAGGAACAGAGAGUAGAGAGAGAGGGGUAGAGGGACAGAGAGUAGAGAGAGCGAGAGAGGUAGAGGGACAGAGAGUAGAGAGAGAGAGAGGUAGAGGGACAGAGAGUAGAGAGAGAGAGAGGUAGAGGGACAGAGAGUAGAGAGAGAGAGAGAGUAGAGGGACAGAGAGUAGAGAGAGAGAGAGAUAGAGGGACAGAGAGUAGAGAGAGAGGUAGAGGAACAGAGAGUAGAGAGAGAGGUAGAGGGACAGAGAGUAGAGAGAGAGAGGUAGAGGGACAGAGAGUAGAGAGAGAGAGGUAGAGGAACAGAGAGUAGAGAGAGAGAGGUAGAGGGACAGAGAGUAGAGAGAGAGGUAGAGGAACAGAGAGUAGAGAGAGAGGGGUAGAGGGACAGAGAGUAGAGAGAGCGAGAGAGGUAGAGGGACAGAGAGUAGAGAGAGAGAGAGGUAGAGGGACAGAGAGUAGAGAGAGAGAGAGGUAGAGGGACAGAGAGUAGAGAGAGAGAGAGAGUAGAGGGACAGAGAGUAGAGAGAGAGAGAGUAGAGGGACAGAGAGUAGAGAGAGAGGUAGAGGAACAGAGAGUAGAGAGAGAGGUAGAGGGACAGAGAGUAGAGAGAGAGAGGUAGAGGGACAGAGAGUAGAGAGAGAGAG